rnacentral:tRNA from 1 species
UAGCUCAGUGGUAGAGCGCAUGACUAGUAUGCAUGAGGUCCUGGGUUCGAUUCUCCG